rnacentral:lncRNA from 1 species
GUCACUAUGGUGAAGGAUGGAGUUGAAGUCCAUAAGGCAACGCCGGUGGUUCUAACUUCUCCUAUUUCAAGUGGUACACUUGCCGGGGGUCGCUUUACAAGAGUAAAGAAGGCUUGGCUUCUCAGUAAAAUGCUGGAGUUGAAAUUUGAGGGCAGGGACUUUGAGGCGAUUUGUGAUCUUGAUGAGGUAUUGAGGGAGGUACAUACUUCUUGAGCUUUGCAGUUGGGUAUUGGUUUUGGUUUAGUUUGUGUUUAUGCUUUGGAAUAUAUGAUUAUGCAGUUCUAUGAAAUGGAAAGCUAUAGCUAGGUGAAAUUCUUAAAGUGUGCAUCAGAACAAACUGAUUUCAAGGAUGUAAUGGCUAUUGGAUCAAGAGAAUGACAGGGAACAAGGCUUUUGGUUUUGGUGGUGCAUGCGUUCCUCUCAAAUAUGCACAAUGGGGCUCCAAGUUUUUUGGAUUCAGUAG